CGUCGAUGGUCACAAGAUCAAGAUGAAUGCAAUGCGCUUGAAGAUGAACCGGCAAUGGAUGUAUGAUGACCGGUGCUCUCCCUAGUUCAUUAAUGGCUGUGCGGCCGAGGCAAACUAGCGAGAUGGUUUUAUGUGUUGUCCAUGUGCUAUGUGACCAAGCACGGAGAAAGUGGGGUUCUAAUGGAAGAGAAUGAAGAAGAAGAAGAGGAUGAUGCCAACUAUCAUGUGUUCUCUGAAUACGAUGGUACUACAAUGGGGGAAGAAGCUAAAGAAGAGGCACCAGAUGAGCCCGUUGAUGAUCUUGGUCG